rnacentral:rRNA from 1 species
UCGAAUCAGGUAGGAAUACCCGCUGAACUUAAGCAUAUCAAU